rnacentral:tRNA from 1 species
CCUGUAGCUCAGUAGGUAAAGAAUCUGCCUGCAGUGCAGGAGACCCAGGUUCGAUCCCUGGGUCAGGA